AAAAAAGUAAUAUAUUUAUUAGGUUUUUACGAACUCUGUUUAAUUUAAAUAUUGGUAUUAGCUAUAGCUAUUAGAGGUGUGCAAAUCCGAUCCGAAACCGAUCCGAAUCCGAUCGGAUUCGUUCGGAUUUCGGAACCAAAAUAUUGAUUUCGGAUCGGAUUGAUAAAGUUGUUUCGUAGUCGGAUCGGACUUCGAUAUCCGAAAUAAAAUGAAUUAAUUAUCCAUGCAUUUAUCAAAGCAUCAUCGCGGUUGUCGCUGCAUUAUUCGUUUGAUACUUAUAAUAAUAAUAAUAAUGGCUUUAUUUCCCACAUUUCAAUAGCGGGUACGCUAAAUUAUAAUGUGUUUACAAUUUAGUUCAACUACUUGUUAAAACUAGAAUAUUACAUGCAUAUACAAAAUUAUAUCUAAAAUACGACUAAAAUAUUUCUAAACAUUAGUAUUUAGGUUAAGAUGAUCGCCAAUUACACUACUCUUAUCACAGGCGGCCCAAUCUCGCAAGGGUCAGUAUAGACUUAUAGUAUAAAUGUAUAUUAUAUUAUAUUAUAUUAAUGUAUAUUAUAGUAAAAAUAUGUCGUAAAAUAUAAAUUUUAAAAUGAAAUUGACUUGCC